rnacentral:lncRNA from 1 species
CGAGUUCCUGCUGGAGGAGUCGCUGCUAGAGAAGCAUCUGCGCAAAGCCUGCCCGGAUCCCGCCCCAGUCCAGCUUAUUGUUCAGUUCUUGGAGCAGGCUUCCAAACCUUCAGUGAACGAGCAAAACCAAGUCCAGCCGCCACCUGACAACAAGAGGAAUCGCAGCCUGAAGCUUCUCGCUCUCAAGGUUGCUGCACAUCUAAAGUGGGAUGUCACAAUCUUGGAGUACUUGACUUAUCUUCAUCAUAAAAGAGGAGAAACUGAUAAAAGGCAAAUCGCAAUCAAAGCCAUUGGCCAAACAGAAUUGAAUGCAAGCAACCCUGAAGAAGUACUACAGCUGGCAGCACAGAGAAGGAAAAAGAAGUUUCUACAAGCAAUGGCAAAACUUUACUUUUAAGCAGUUAGUUAAUUUUUUUUAAUUUUAUUUUUUAAACUAUGGGCUAAAAGUAAACAGUAUUAAAAGAUUAAGUUUAUAUAAU